rnacentral:rRNA from 1 species
CGGGGGAAUAACCAGUCGAAAGAUUGGCUAAUACCGCAUAAUGCAGCGGCACCUAAUGGUGAUUAGUUGUUAAAGCGGGGGACCUUCGGGCCUCGCGCCUGGAGAGGAGCCUGCGGCAGAUUAGCUAGUUGGUGAGGUAACGGCUCACCAAGGCAUCGAUCUGUAGCUGGUCUGAGAGGACGGCCAGCCACACUGGCACUGACACACGGGCCAG